GGGACUUUAACUAUUUCUUCACCUCUAUUCCCUUUGCCCUCUUCCACCCACAAAACCAUACAAAGAGGGCCUGUCCAGAUAUUUGUAGAUACAGGAUAAUAUAUGUUAUUAAAUCCAUGUCUCAAUAUGCAAUCCAUCCAUAGGUUAAUGUAUAUAUUUCUUUAUAGCUCUGUAUGUCUAGGGGAAUAUUUACUAAACAUUGUAUAGGCAAAACAAUUCAUUUCCCAUCAAUUGUAAUGAAAAGGAAUGUUCU